rnacentral:rRNA from 1 species
UACGUAGGCAGCAAGCGUUGUUCGGAGUUACUGGGCGUAAAGAGUGCGUAGGCGGUUUUCUAAGGUUGGUGUGAAAUCUCCCGGCUUAACUGGGAGGGUGCGCCGAAGACUGGAAGGCUUGAGUAUGGGAGAGGUAAGCGGAAUUCCUGGUGUAGCGGUGAAAUGCGUAGAUAUCAGGAGGAACACCUGUGGUGUAGACAGCUUACUGGACCACGACUGACGCUGAGACACGAAAGCGUGGGUAGCAAACAGG